GAGCUCAAAUUUGAAAGCUGGCUCCUUCGGGGUCCGCAUUGUAAUUUGUAGAGGAUGCUUCGGGAGCGGUCCCCAUCUAAGUGCCCUGGAACGGGACGUCAUAGAGGGUGAGAAUCCCGUAUGGGAUGGGGUGUCCGCGCCCGUGUGAAGCUCCUUCGACGAGUCGAGUUGUUUGGGAAUGCAGCUCUAAAUGGGUGGUAAAUUUCAUCUAAAGCUAAAUAUUGGCCGGAGACCGAUAGCGCACAAGUAGAGUGAUCGAAAGAUGAAAAGCACUUUGAAAAGAGAGUUAAAAAGCACGUGAAAUUGUUGAAAGGGAAGCGCUUGCGACCAGACUCGCUCGCGGGGUUCAGCCGGCAUUCGUGCCGGUGUACUUCCCCGCGGGCGGGCCAGCGUCGGUUUGGGCGGUCGGUCAAAGGCCCUCGGAAGGUAACGCCCCUAGGGGCGUCUUAUAGCCGAGGGUGCAAUGCGACCUGCCUAGACCGAGGAACGCGCUUCGGCUCGGACGCUGGCAUAAUGGUCGUAAACGACCCGUCUUGAAACACGGACCAAGGAGUCUAACAUCUACGCGAGUGUUCGGGUGUCAAACCCGUGCGCGAAGUGAAAGCGAACGGAGGUGGGAACCCUCACGGGUGCACCAUCGACCGAUCCUGAAGUCUUCGGAUGGAUUUGAGUAAGAGCGUAGCUGUUGGGACCCGAAAGAUGGUGAACUAUGCCUGAAUAGGGCGAAGCCAGAGGAAACUCUGGUGGAGGCUCGUAGCGGUUCUGACGUGCAAAUCGAUCGUC
rnacentral:rRNA from 1 species